rnacentral:rRNA from 1 species
CUGGCCCUAAACGAUGUCUACUAGGUCGGAGUCACUCUGACGUGUUUCUGGCCGUAAUGAAAACUUUAAGUAGACCGCCUGGGGAGUACGGUCGCAAGGCUAAAACUCAAAGGAAUUGACGGGGGCUCACACAAGCGGUGGAGCAUGUUGCUUAAUUCGAUGCAACGCGCAGAACCUUAUCCUGGGCUUGACAUGUACGAGCCUCUACCUGGAAACAGGAUAGAGUUUCCCUUCGGGGUGUAAGCGUACACAGGUGC